rnacentral:rRNA from 1 species
AAAGGAAUAGACGGGGGCCCGCACAAGCAGCGGAGCAUGUGGUUUAAUUCGAAGCAACGCGAAGAACCUUACCAAGGCUUGACAUCCCGGUGACCGGCAUAGAGAUAUGCCUUCUCUUCGGAGCACCGGUGACAGGUGGUGCAUGGUUGUCGUCAGCUCGUGUCGUGAGAUGUUGGGUUAAGUCCCGCAACGAGCGCAACCCUUGUUACUAGUUGCCAGCAUUUCGGAUGGGAACUCUAGUGAGACUGCCGGGGAUAACUCGGAGGAAGGUGGGGAUGACGUCAAAUCAUCAUGCCCUUUAUGUCUUGGGCUACACACGUGCUACAAUGGUCGGUACAAAGAGCGGCGAGCUCGUAAGAGUCAGCGAAUCUCAAAAAGCCGGUCUCAGUUCGGAUUGUGGGCUGCAACCCGCCCACAUGAAGUCGGAGUUGCUAGUAAUCGCGGAUCAGCAUGCCGCGGUGAAUGCGUUCCCGGGCCUUGUACACACCGCCCGU